CGCGGUCGCCCCAGCCGCCCGGCAGCCGCCGACCCCCGGCCGGGCCCUGGACUCGCCGCGGUAGUGCCUUCCCAAACAGAGCUGCUGGAAUUACAAUCUUUUGUUGAGCCUCAUGUAACGGAAAAGUCUCCGAUUACUAUCACUUGAAAAGGCUAGCGCGCCCACGGGACGGCCUGGAGAGUGAAGAGCCCCAAGGGUCCCGGGCCCGCGCGGCUCAUUCACUCUCUAGCGUCUGCUGAGGUAACGCGGCCCGCACCUGGGCGCGCGCGACUGCCCCAGUGCGCUGGCGCCAACCACGCGGCGGCGGCCCGGCGAGCCACCGGGAAGAAGUCAGACAAAGUCACUCUCAGGGCGCUGUGCAGCGCCACAGCCAGGGGAGGUGUAAGUUCGGGCUCAGUGAAGAAUCUCGGCUGACUUACGCUGCCAUCAGGGGAUAUGAAGGCGGUGGUUUCCUGGAAUAACACGGGCCUAUGAUAGGAAUUCGACGCAAGGAAGAUUUAUGGGAGCACCGAUUUGCAAGGCAUUGUGGGAAAAAGGUACACAGGCAGACAACAAAUUACACUUUUGGCAUUUCCAGUUUGGAGCCCUACAGCAAUACUCACUGAAGAAGGUUGCACAUAAUAUGAUGGCAGUAGAGCUGGGACGAACGUAGCCACACUCAAUCCUGUGAAGCCAACACUGAAUGAACCAGGCAGAGUGAACACAUGCAAGUAUUAGAAAGGUUUGGACACUGGGGAAGGGUUUAAUAACCCCACGGGGAUAAGAAGUAAGAAAUGGGAAUCCAUUUGGUGUGAUGGGACCAGGGAAGAAUAAGACAGAUCCCUGAUGGCCCAUCUGACCACCUCCAGUUCAGAAGUGGGGAGGAGGUAAAGGAAGGCCAGAGGUAUUCAUUCUUUAUUUCUUCAGUGUUUACUGUUCUGUAUUUACAGUAUUUAAUGUGUGCAAGGCACACUGCCAGGUGUUUUAGAAGAUUCAGAAGUGACCAGGAGUGUUGCUAGCCAAAGGAAAUGGGACAAAUGUGCAAACAGUAAAGUACCAAAAGAAUAUAGUAAGGGCCAGGGGAGGACAGCUCUAAGAAUUCAGAGGACAAGGAGGACACAUCUGCCUUUUGGAGAAAGCUGUCUCAACAAAGAGGAACAGAGCACUAAAGCUAAAUAACCCCCAUGAAGGACCAACCCUCUUCCGGCAGUCCCCAAAUGAAGAGCAAUUGUAUUCCUUUAAUUCAGUCAUAAAUCAACUCUCAAUUCUAUGAGAUUUUUCACAGAAGAACGGAGCGCCUCAAAAGUGGAUCAAGGCAGAAAUGGAUGUGGAAAUUAUCAUCCUGUACCUUUGAGGUAAAGAGGCUUCUACAGCUCUGGCAUGAGCUACCACAGGUCAUAACCAUUAGGAAAGAAACUGGAAUGUUACCAUGCCAGGCUUUGUGAAUAAACUAAAGUUUUGCUGGUGGUGGCACAGGAAAAAAAUGAAGAAACCAAGAGGACUUGAACCAAGUGGGUAUGACUCCAAAGCCCAUGCUUUAAAUGAACAAAUUGGCCUACCCUCUAAGGCAAGAACCCUUUAAUAGUGGUCUAUGUCAGAAAAAUAUCAAAAAGACUCAAGGCUCUUAAAUAAAUAAGGAAAUGAAUGACCUGCAUCAAAGUCUAAUUACGCCUAGGCCAGUUACCCACCCAGCCAGGUCUCCUUGUACAUACACAAUGGGGGUGAUAUUGCCCCCACAAGGAAUGAAAAUUCAUUUUGGGGAUGAGGCAAAAAAUUGUAUUCUUUUUCAUAUUAGCAUAGAUAUAUAAUGUAUCUAUGGCAUGAAAAUUUCAUGGGUGGGCAAUUAGGAGGAAAAAAAGGGUCAC
rnacentral:lncRNA from 1 species